CGGGGUCGGGAGGCGGCGUGAGGGGCGGCCGCCAUCUUGGGGCGGGGGUGCGCGGGGCGCGGAGGGCCGUCCCCGUUCCCUCCGGGUCCUCCGCGCACCGCGGCUCCCGGCAGCGCGAGGGCGGCCGGCCAGAGCGGUUUCAAACUUAGAAAACUGCGCUCUGAUCGCGGGAACGUACAGACUCGUGCCGCCUCGAGUCCGAUUCUCGGAGCAGGUGUCAGGCGCCCGGCUACUGCUGUGCUGUGGGCACGGCCCGUGACGGUUCUGACGAGCAGCUGGGUAGAGCUCCGGGGGCUGCAGCCACCGAGCUCAGUAACUUCCUUUAAAAGCAACAUAAACAGCACAAAAUUAGACUGUUUUGUGGAAGCAGAAAUGCUUGGUAGUGGUAGGACUCUGUGCGCUUGCCUAGCAUGCCAUUGCAAGGACAAUCAGCAUGGAAAACCAGGACUUUGAGCUCUGCAUCUCUGCUUGAUCUUGACUUGCUGGUUGAUACCAGGAGCUGCUUCCCAGAUCCUCUUGAUUCGGUUCGAGAAGUUAGAAUUACCUGUAAUCAUUGGUAAACCAAAAGUCCCGAAUGGAGAACAAUGACAGGCGCCCACCGAGAAGUCAUCAUUUCAAAAACAUCCAGCUCCCACCUGUGCUUUGGGAUGUGAAAGAAUGACGUUGGCAGGUAGAGGCCUCAAGUUCCUCUCGGAUGCAUCUGGACCAUUUUAUUAGGGAGUCCACUGAGCCUGUGAUCAGCCUGAGUGCAGCUGAUGGUGAGCAGCGCCAAGGUGUGGUACUGAGCUGCUGAUCAAAUUGGUGUAUUUCAGAAGACCUGAAAAAAUUAGAUGAUUGAAACAUCACUCGUAAGCCACAGCUUCACCAUGAGGACUUUAGGAAAAGCAUGGCUGCACAGAGUACCUUCACCAGCAAUCUUCCAGGCUCCGACAAAACUAUUGUUCUUGAAGACCAGAAAGAUUGUUAUUGAGCUUUCCACAAAGCUGAAAUAAUGCUGUGUGUUAAAAAAAUGUUAACAAUUUGAAGAAGUUAUAAAAAUUUAUAAGUUGACUGAAUACUUUGGAAAUUUCUGCAUAUUUUAAUAUAAAUAGCCUCUGGACUGGUUCUCCUGCUCUGCAGCACAGUUACUUGCCUUUCUCGUUGAGGCUCUUGGUCAUCCCAUCUACCACGGUCAAGAAGACUGCCACAUACAGAUAUGGUGAUCAGUAUGUCUGGUCCAGUUUGAAUGCCCUGUCCUGGAGUGGGAAGCAAGUUCUGCACUGUAUGUGGAUGAAGUUAAUCAGUUUGCAGUAACAAAGUGUUGGAAGGGACUUCAAGAGCUUAUCUAUACAGAGCUGGCCAGCCUGUGCCUUGGAGGCCUGCUGGGGAGAGGUGACAUUCAAGUGAUGAAGAAAUAGGAGUCUGCACCAUUCGUCAGCCUAGCGAGAAGGCGGCUCUAUGCUCACUUUGAAAGAGGGCAGUGCAAAAGUUACCUAGCGAUGUGAGUACUCUGGGCACGGCGGAGGAGCUUCCCACUGAAUGCGGCACAGCGGCACAGCUGCUGAGGAGAGCAUGGCAACAGCAAGAAAUGGAAUUCACUGAAGAAAGCGCUUGACAAGCCAUGUGAGAACCAGCGUGAGCAGCCAGUGGGCACAGCCCCAUCUUCUUGGAAAUUCCAGCAAGAAGAUUAUCAACUACUUUUUCUCCUCGCAUCCCGGUUUACAGAAUGGUUUGUUGUACACAUGCCUUUGUGAAGUCAGCAGGAGCUCAAAAAUCGAUUACUGCUCCUCAAGACAAGAGCUGUGUAUUUAGUGCCUGUGUGCCUCUGCCAAGUAGAUGGUAUGUACAUUAGACUGCGAGACUGUAAUGUGCAGAGAGCUCAGCUCCUUUAGCUGCUCUCUGGGACUGGUCUUUACAACUGUAGGACUUAGCAGCCCAAGACAGCUAAACAAGGUAUUGCUUUUUGCUUAUUCCAACCACAUCCAAGCAUUUUUAUCUGUAUCACAGCAAGGAAAAUAAGGAAUACCACUCUCACAGUUAAUUUUUAUGGCUGAUUAAUUAGCCCAAAGAGUAUUAAAUUGUGCUAAUGUAGUUUGCCUCUUCGAUGCUGUCUUUUGACUUCAAUGGAACUUAAUACGUGCUUAAAGUUAACUACAUGCCUAAGUGCUGUGGUGAAUCGGGGCCUAGGGCAUUAAUUAGAACUUGGCUCAGAUUUACUUUCAAGGCUUUUUUCUCCUCUUUUUUUUUUUUUAACUCUUCAGAGCUCAGCAGUUUAAUUGGUAUGCAGAUGUUCCCCUUUAUUGCUGGUAGAAGCCUCUGUCACUGUUCUGAAGGUACUCAGACAUCAAGGCUGGUACAGUGGGCAGGAAGAAACCCCCCCUGAAGGCUUUCAAGCUUUGUGGGAAAUAAUGAUGUAUGAGACAGGGAUUCCUUUGGAACCUGAAGGGAACAUGACAGAUAGAAUAAUAUGGGAGGAAAACAUUGUCUUCACAAUUGAGACUGAUGGUCUCAUCUUGUCUCCUUGUUAUUGUUACCAACCAAGACUGAGAUGAGCUUUCUUACGAAGAACUUCAUUUCGUGGCAGGUUCUAUAUGUUGGACGCACUGUGCUCAGUGGUAGCUUUCCAUCCAAGGUACAGAUAUUGACAGGCUCUGAGGAACUCUUUGGGAUGGUGCUUUAGCUUAAAACCUAAAAUUCCUUCCAGCAUUCAGAUGCAUUUUGUCAGGAGUGACAGUUGCAAUUUGAUAAUCUUUUACCACUUUGCCUGUCUAUCUCAAACAGCUAGCUGGAGGGGAGAAACCCAGAGUUGUUGGGCACAGGAGUGUCAGCUUUAUGAGUCAGCUUUUCUCACACUUUAUUAAUUUCACUUUCCAGUGGUUAGUGCAUGUUUGGAAGAGACAACUGAUUUGUACGGAUCUGUGUAGGAUGGAGCAAAGCUGGAACUAAAGGAGCGCAAGUUGACAGCAGUGCAAUAGCUCUAAUUGACAGAUACCAAAGGCACUAUUUAAAGCAACUUUUCUUCUGCUGUUAAAGUUAAAAAUGGCCCCCAAUUUGUCCUCAGAUUCCCAUGUUAAAAAGAAAUGUUUGCAAGUAUAUUAAUUUAAAAUGGAUUAGCUGGAAUAUUAAGUGCUCCUUUUAUGUACUUGCAUUUUCAAGUUAGAUGAUCCAAAAUGCUUCUGUGCAAGGUACAGGAAGAUGACUGUUUCUUAACUCCUCCAGAGUAAAAGCUGUCUUUCAGGGGAUACUUUGCACAUGUGAGAUUUGCACUAGUGGUUUUUUGGCACUCACAGUUUCAUCAGAAAUGCAUUUCAGCAAAUGGGAGGCAGAAGGAUUAAUACACACGCCGCGUGUCGUGGGUGCAAAAAUGCAAGUAGAAAUUACAACCAUCAUUGGAAGGUCUGGGAAAAUAAGCCUUCCUGGAUGCGAGCAGGACAAAUUAGGAAAUAUCAGAUUUCUUUUACAACUGGCUGUUACUCUUUACAUUUCUGGAGAACUGGGAUCUUGCUGUUAAUCUUACAAAAAUAGAUGCUGUGGUGAAGCCUCAGGCAUGAAUAAAAUUGGAUGUUAAUCUUAAAGCAGAUUUUUUACAGCUAUGCGCUCAGAGCCAGUGAAUCCAAAUGAUUUGGAAACUCUGUGUUUGUUACUUAUUUAGAUCAAAGUGCUGUGGGGAAACAGGUCAGCGGCCCAGGUACAUAUUGUAACGUUUGAGGCUCCUUAAAGUUGAGCAGAUAAGGGCAGCAAACAUUAAACAUCUCUGGCUUCACGCAAAUAAUAGGCAAAGCUGAAAAAAGCCUGCUGACAAGAGGAGUGGGUGUUGGUGGGUGACUUGCUGCAGUUUUAGAGCUGUUAAGUGUAGGUUUUUUAGCAUUUUCAUUAUUUAAAAGUGGAGUGGUAGUUUCUUCACUCCCUCUGAAAAGUUACCAAUUUACUCUGAAAUACAGGGUAACCCGCAGUGAUUUAACAGAUUUGUAAUGUGCUGUAGAGUGAUUUCAAGUAACAGACUCCCUCCUUCUCGCCAAGUUUCCCACCGUCUCAGCUCUGCCUCCGCUCCUUUCUCUGUGUACAUCUGCACCAAAAUGCAAAGCAGGGGCUGCCCCACGUGUGACUUUCAUCAGCCUAGCUCCGGUGUCAACAUGCUGGGCAGCUUUGACCGCUCGUGCCCAUGCGGGUUUGCCUUAUUCCCAGUGUUCAGAAAGAAGAGGCUGAGUUAAUGACGUUUGGACGUUGGAAAUCCCACCACAGAGCAUGGCGUGGUUCAAAAGCACCUGCCACUCUGCUAGUACCACUGCAAGCAGACAGUCCUUCCUGGUAUGCAGACCUUCAGCUAAGUUCAUGGGAAGUACCAACGGAGCGUGGUGUCGGUCCCCAGGGUGCUCCUGGAAUCUGGGCAAUAUCAUCAUCUGCACACCUCUCUGUCUGAUUCAGAGAAAGCAGCUGAGCUGUGUUCGCAAAUAGCUGUCCAAUAAGACAGGCUUCAUGCGAAGAUGAGAGGCAGCUGAGACAUUUUCCCUGGCUGUCAAGCUGAAUGGGUCUCAGCCAGCUCAUGCUCCAGCCAGUUCAUUCCUACCUAUUGCUUGUGUUCAGUUGCCAUGCCUAUGGAAGGAUAUUUAAGCUAGAAGCCCCUUAGCAUGAUAAUAUUUGAAUAUGACAGGACCUUGCUGAAUAGAAGCUGGCCUUGUAUUUACUCUGAACAGUCUCUGGUGGUUUGUGGUAGGGAAUUGGGAGCUGGGGCUGAAGCCACAGCCUCUAGGACCAAACCACAGAAUUUACACACUCCUGCCAAGGCCUGCCAAUCUGUGUUCCUAGCUGAAGGUCUGUGUCACCGCUAUUUUGUGUGCUAGUGUCUUUGCUGUUUGAGGGAGGAAUCUAUUUUGUUCAGUAUAGCAAUACCGUCUAGCCUAGUUUAAUUUUAUUAGCUGCUGAUAACGUGUUACUAUUCUGCACGUCCAUGAGCUUGUUUAGUGUCAAUAACCAAGGGCAGAAAUACUUGAAUGGGAGCCUAGAUGGAGAUGCUUUCUCUUUCUCUAUUCCUCAUGAGAACCCACCUGCAGUACCACCACAUCCAGCUCUCAGACCCCCAUCACAAGAAACACAAGGGCCUGCUAGAGGGAGUCCAGAGGAGGGCCGCAAAAAUGAUCAGGGGGUUGGAAAGCCUCUCCUAUGAAGAAAGCCUGAGAGAGGUGGGGUUGUUCAGCCUGGAGAAGAGAAGGCUCCAGGGAAACCUUACUGCAUCUUUUCUUAAAGAAGACUUAUAAGAAAGAUAGACUUUCUACAAGGGCAUGCAGUGAUAGGAUGAGAGAUAAAGAUUUUAAACUAAAAGCGGGUAUAUUUAGAUUAGAUGUAAGGAAGAAAUUCUUUAUUGUGUUGGUGGUGAGGUACUGAAACAGGUUGCCCAGAGAAAUUAGGGAUACCCCAUCCCUCGAAAUGUUCAAAGCCAGGUUGGAUGGGGAUUUGGGCAACCUGGUCUAGUGGGAGGCCUGUGGCAGGGGGUUGGAACUAGAUGAUCUUUUCGGUCUCUUCCAACCCAACCCCAACCAUUCUAUGAUUCUGUGCUGAUAUUCUGGAGGACUCCAAGGUUUCUUUUGCCUUUCUUCCUUUCCCUGAUCUAGAAGGCCAGGAGAACGCUUAUCCACUCAUAAUAAAUGAUUCAAGCUGCAUGAGACUGAAAGGUCACUACAAGUUUCUGUUACUCUCCUGGUGUGACUGGUACAAAUCACAUCUUCUAGCAAACUUUAAGCAAGUAUGCUUCUGUUACAAGGUGAGAUGGUAAGUUAGUGCCACUGACGUCUGUUGGGUAGAGCAUUUUAUUUUGAAACCAUUCUUGCUCUGAAGGCUCAGUCAACUGCUCUUAAUCUGGGAGCCUACAGUGUAGGUAAGUGUGGUCAUGAGGCUGAACAGCUCAUGCAACUCUCCUUGACUUGAACUGGAGAAAGGCCAGAGUUUGUUCACUUUCACAUUCUGUAACUGAGAAAAAUGAAUUCUCUUCUAGGGAAGCAGUAAUUCCUUCCAUUCUUCCCAAAUAGAUGAUGACUAAAGAAGGUCUGAGCUGAGUAUAGAUAUUCUUACAUUUACUUAAAAUGAACGUAGCUCAUAACUCUUAUUUUAGCACCAAUCUGGAACACUACUGUGAACAGAUUUACAAAGUCUGCCUGUUUCUUACCUUGGCAUUCUGGUAAUUAUACUCAUUCUUGCACUGAUACUUGGGAGUUUGAUGAAGCAAAUGCCUGAAAGGUGAGUAGGUGAAAGGUUGAUAGUUUUCUAUACAAACCUGUUCUUUUUGUGUACGCCAUAAUUUUCUUUCAGUUCUAAAGUAUGAUUUUCUUCUUCUGAUACUAAGGAGUGAGGCACUGGGUUUUUUUUUGUUUUGUUUUGUUUUUUUUCUUCUAGCAUGUAUGUCAUCAGCAGUUAUUAACUUUGUUCUAGUUGCAGGGUCCUUUGUUGCUGGAUUGAAAAAACCUACUAACUUCAACCAUGUGUUUUUAGACUAGACACUUAACAAAAACCUUUACUGCAUUUAUAAAAUGAGCAGAUUUAAUCUGAAAGUCAUUGAAAGAAACCAAUAAAGAACUUCCUUGAUGUGAUUUCUGGACUUACUAUGUGGAACUCUAUCACAUGUUUUCACGUAUUGGGCAUAAGGGCAUUUGAAAGGAUAAAGAAGGUUAAAUGUAGAUGAUAAUGAAAAUAUUAUCAGUAUUUAUAGGUCAGGCAAUAAUGUCAGUGUAUUAAUGUGAUAUGAAAUAUUUCUUUGAUUUCAUGGACAGUGCCUUACUGUAUAUAGCUUGCUGCAAUAGUGUGGUCCUUGAUAUACAUAGUUUAACUUUUAAAAUGUGUUAGUAAUCUGUUUGCCUUGAAAUGCCUUAUGAAAAGUAUACUUAUUAUAGAACACAUACAGUUGCUAUCUGCCUAGUGCUAUCUCUGUUAUAGCAACUUAAGCUAAGAGAACACAUUUGGAAGAAAACCUCUUCCAAGCAGAGAAUUUUUUUUUGUUAUUGUUGCUGUGAAACUGUUGCUGGAAACGUUCAUUAACAAUUAGAGAUGUAGUCUUUCAACUGGACUUCCUUCAUUCAAAUUAUAUACAGAUUGCAAGACUCUUCAAGCCUACGGUCAUGUCAGGAGUGUGAGGAGUAAGAUAUUAGCCUUUCUUUUAAUCAGGAGAUCUUUGGAAUAGGUAUCUUGUUCACCAAAUUGCCUUCCUUUUCAUCUGUCACCAAAUAACAUCUUUGUAGAACUGCAGUAACUGGAAAGAAAGAAAAUACUGGAAAGUAUUUCUGUAGUUAGAACUGGGCUUGGCAUAUUUUCACCCUUCUGGAAAAGAGAUGCUGGUUUUGGUUCUUUGCUUUUUAAUCCCCUUUUUCAUGCCGUUGAGUACUGGAACAAAAGAAUAAAGGUGAGUACUGAGUAAACUGUGAAUUCUUUUUGGAUCAGACUUCAAGAGUCUGUUCUGACACACAUUUUGGUGUCACUUCUUCUGAGGGACUGUACUGACAAGCUCUCAGAACAUAUUCUUCCACGACAACUUCACAUAAUUUAGUAAACAUUUGAAUAAAUUUCAUACCAUCUUAUUGAAGUAGGCAGAAUACUUAUUUCUUGAGUAACCGAGCUUAAGUUAAAUGCUCAUAAUAAUUAAAACUAUAGAUUACAAUUAGUGGCUUGCCAUUCUAUUGCAGAAGUAGGUUGAAUGAAAAUCUCUGUCAAAAAUUAGAGGUUAAACACUGAAUUAAGAUACCAAAUAAUAGUGUGUCAGGAGUAUAGCCUUCUAUUUAGGACAGUGUUGUCAUGCACCUUGCUUGUACAAGGUCUGGAAACACUGUGAGACUUGGACAAACACAGUGCAGCCUCAGACUGUAGGGAUGUUACCUCUUUUUGAGCACGAUAUGCUCAGUCUCUUGGUUGAUGGAAAUAUGUCCAGUAUCUAAGGAGCUUGAUAGUGUGGGAGACAGCCACAGAUGCUCGAUUAGAAUACCCGAACGUUGUAGCAUGGGGCAGGAUAUAGCUUCUGUUCCCUUCUGCACCUCUGAAAUUGGUGUAAUAUGAAUUAGAUUGUCAUCAAGUUUAAUUUGUGAAGACCCAUAAAACAGAAAUGGCUCUACAUCGGUGCUAAAACUUACGCCACUUGCAUUAAAUGCAUGAGUAGCAAUCAGUAUUUGUUAAAACAAGUGCUUUUCCAGAAAUAUUUAAGUAAAAUCUCUAGGUGAAAUCUGAGCAAAAUUUGGAUUGGUACCUGCAAAAAUGGUGACCUCCUCCCUUCUAAGUUCGAUUUUCCUCUUGACGAUAGCCCUUCACCUAGAUGCCUCCCCAGGCAGCUGUAGUGAAUGGAUCUGGCCACAGAGGGAAUCUGGCCCACCGAAUUCCUUUUCUUUCUGUGCAAUUGAAUGAAAAGCAUGUGUCUUUUGAAGAACAGCGACUGAAAGAAAUAUUAAUGACUGCUGGGACAUCUACAGAAAAGCAUAAAAAAAUUACUACAGCAGGGAAGACAAAGGGGCUCUGUUAACUCUUUCUUGUAGGUUGUAUAUAUUAAUAGUAACGACCAAAGGUUCGUAUUUUUGCAGGGAAACACACAAGGCUUUGAAUUGUAUUGUUUUAAUUGCAGCUAGCUGAAUGAAUUAACUGGAAAGUCACACACAGUGCUUUGAUUGUCUAACUCUGUAUGUGAGGCUUUGGGAACAGUUUGUUAUUAGAAAAGAACAGCACUAACAAGAAAUCAGCCAACAUAUAAUUGCUGGGCUGAGGGACAGUUUGGGGAAAGCUGAUAUUUAUUUAUAAACUAUUAAAUAAAAAGCACAUAAUAUGCGGGUCAUCUCUCACUGCCUCCACACUUCAGAUAUUACUCAUCCUCCUAAGCUUCGUGUUCUACGGGGCAUUGCUUCUUAUAACCACUUCAGGAGUUGAAACCACCUACACCUAGGGAAGGAGAUGCUUGGACCUCUGUUACAAUGGCAGUUUUGGUUAUGAGACUGCACCAAAGGACAUGACUUUUCAGUUCAAGGAAAGAAUUCUUGACCAGGGAGCUGCUAUGUGCCUAAAAUACACACAAGCACUCGGGACUCUGUUUAGGUAGCCUCAAUACUGGUCAGUGUUUCCUACUGACAGCAGCCAUCUAUCCAAUACCCUAAAUAAAAGCUUAAGUAAGGCUUAAGAACAAUUUUGGCAUUCAUUUUAGUGGGAUUCUCAAAAACAUUUUCUUCCCAUCAGUUUGGGAAUUAUGCAACUUCUGGUUGUCUCUUGUGCUUUUCUCUGCCUGCUUAGUGCUAUAUGACCUUAGAAUUACAGCCACUUUGGAAGAUACAGAGAGGAGGAAGGUGGCGGCUGGGCUCACCAAGAGGCUGGAAUGCAUUUCAUCCUCAAUAGUUUUGGCUAUCAAAUACCUGUUCCUGCUUCUCUGGGGGAUGGAACCAUGGCUCUUUCAUCUAUGAGCUUUUCUCUAGGAAAACAAACAUAACUAUUAUCAUUGGCCCAGCUCUUCACAGCUAUACAGUUUCCUCUCAUUUCCAGCCGAGAGCUAAGAAGCCAAAAUUAUGAUGGAUUAGCUCUCUGAGGCUUUCUAGCUGUGUGGAAAGAGUAUUCUCUCCUCCAUCUUUCCUUUAGAAGCAGAAGAGGUGACUUCUGGGGACACACACAGCCCAUCUCCCUUGCCUGGCCACCCUUUCAAGGGGCAGCCAUAGGUGUUGGCAGCUGUGGCACUCACAGUCAGGUGCACAGGGCAGCCAAUCCUCUCUGCUUCAGAGGUGCCUGUUGCAAAGCAGGUGCACUGACACCUAAGCAGAUCCUCACAUGGCCGUGCAACAAGUGUGUGAGCAACGUCUGGGCCUCGCAGUGAGGUGUGUGUCCUGCAGACCAGGAGGCCCUGGGGACAGAAAGGUGCACCGUCACCUGGGUAGAUGGCACUGCCAGACCCAGCUUUGGGCUCGCUGAGCUGCUAUAUGCAGAUGAUGUUUAUGCUGUACAAACAAAUAGUACUGUUAGACCAUUCAAAUAGCGUUCAUGCAGCUUUUAACUGGUAGAGACUUUAUUUUAUGAUUUCAUCUACAGGCUUGUUAGAAACUUCUGUAUCCACACCAUCGGGCAGACUUUCUCCGUGAGGCCCAGCUGAGGUGAUGUGAAAAUUGCAUCACUAUUAUCAGCUACCUACCCAGUGGGUGCAAGACUGUUGUGCCAGAAGGUGCUUGAGAGGCGGAGCUGGGCAGGAUUUGACUUUGCACAGCUCUUGCUAAGAAUUGCUAAAUAUCUCUUUAACUGGUUUUUGACAUUUGAAUGUAUUUUCCUCAAGUUAGUUAUUCUUCUACAAAGGAACGUAGUUGCAUUUAUGGAAGAUCUUGACUUUUACAGCGUGUGAGGCCCAUGCAGUUUCCCCUGUGUACGCGUGUUGCCUGCAUAAUUACCAACAGCUGUAACAAAAACCCAGUUUUGUUAAAGGAGCUUUCAACAGAAAGGUAGAAGUGAUAUGCAACAGAAGAAAAAUUAAAAACAAGAGGGCUUGGAAAACGUUUAUAUACUUAGGAAAAAAAUUCAUUUUUAAUCCUGUUCUAUUAUUCUCUCUCUGAUAUUAAAAUCUAUAUAAAGCACUGCUGAUUUCAAUCGGCUCAACGCGAGGUAAUUCAGAACUCCC
rnacentral:lncRNA from 1 species